AUUGAACGCUGGCGGCAGGCCUAACACAUGCAAGUCGAGCGGAUGAGUGGAGCUUGCUCCAUGAUUCAGCGGCGGACGGGUGAGUAAUGCCUAGGAAUCUGCCUGGUAGUGGGGGACAACGUUUCGAAAGGAACGCUAAUACCGCAUACGUCCUACGGGAGAAAGUGGGGGAUCUUCGGACCUCACGCUAUCAGAUGAGCCUAGGUCGGAUUAGCUAGUUGGUGAGGUAAAGGCUCACCAAGGCGACGAUCCGUAACUGGUCUGAGAGGAUGAUCAGUCACACUGGAACUGAGACACGGUCCAGACCCCUACGGGAGGCAGCAGUGGGGAAUAUUGGACAAUGGGCGAAAGCCUGAUCCAGCCAUGCCGCGUGUGUGAAGAAGGUCUUCGGAUUGUAAAGCACUUUAAGUUGGGAGGAAGGGCGAGUAAGUUAAUACCUUGCUGUUUUGACGUUACCAACAGAAUAAGCACCGGCUAACUUCG
rnacentral:rRNA from 1 species